AAAGGAAAAGACUUUAUUGUUUCCAGGUAGUUGGGGGGGAAAGGCCUCACAAAGCCAAAGGCCCCUAGUUUGUUGGAGGAGGAUUUCCGCCCCCAUAAGAAAUGAGCCCCGGUCCCAGUUCUUUAGGGGGGGCAGCAGGGGGGAAUUUUCCACAAUGGGAGAAAUUUUGGAUCCAACAACCGCGGGGGGGAGGAGGACCCAUUUCGGGGUGUAAACUCCUUUUUUAAGGGGAAGAUAAUGGCGGUCCCAUAAGAAUAAGCCCCGGCUAAUUCCGUGCCAGCAGCCGCGGUAGUACGGAGGGUGCAAGCGUUAUUCGGAAUCACUGGGCGUAAAGCGCGCGCAGGCGGCCUGAUAAGUUGGAUGUGAAAGCCUACGGCUCAACCGUAGAACUGCAUCCAAAACUGUCAGGCCAGAGUGUGGGAGAGGAAGAUGGAAUUAGUUGUGUAGGGGUAAAAUCCGUAGAGAUAACUAGGAAUACCAAAAGCGAAGGCAAUCUUCUGGAACACUACUGACGCUGAGGCGCGAAAGCGUGGGGAGCAAACAGGAUUAGAUACCCCGGUAGUCCACGCAGUAAACGAUGAAUGUUAGUCGUCGGGUAGCUAGCCUAUUCGGUGAUGCAGCUAACGCAUUAAACAUUCCGCCUGGGGAGUACGGUCGCAAGAUUAAAACUCAAAGGAAUAGACGGGGACCCGCACAAGUGGUGGAGCAUGUGGUUUAAUUCGAAGAUACGCGAAGAACCUUACCUAGCCUUGACAUAUAUUAGAAUCUUUCAGAGAUGAGAGAGUGCCUUCGGGAGCUUUUAUACAGGUGCUGCACGGCUGUCGUCAGCUCGUGUCGUGAGAUGUUGGGUUAAGUCCCGCAACGAGCGCAACCCUCGUCACUAGUUACUAACGGUUCGGCCGAGGACUCUAGUGAGACUGCCUUCGCAAGGAGGAGGAAGGUGAGGACGACGUCAAGUCAUCAUGGCCCUUACGGCUAGGGCAACACACGUGCUACAAUGGUUGGGACAAUGAGACGCGAUACCGCGAGGUGGAGCAAAUCUAUAAACCCAAUCUCAGUUCGGAUUGUUCUCUGCAACUCGAGAGCAUGAAGCUGGAAUCACUAGUAAUCGUAGAUCAGCUAUGCUACGGUGAAUACGUUCCCGGGUCUUGUACUCACCGCCCGUCACACCAUGGGAGUUGAUUUCACCCGAAGCGGGGAAGCUAAACUGGCUACCCUCCACGGUGGAAUUAGCGACUGGGGUGAAGUCGUAACAAGGUACC
rnacentral:rRNA from 1 species